rnacentral:misc_RNA from 1 species
UACUCUCUCAACUUUAACCUUGAAGGUUAAUGCUUGGAUAGUGGAGGUGUGCUGGCUGCCUCGGUGGUCAGCUCCUCUGAAAAGAAUUAGCAAAAGGGACAUGUUACCAAUUCCCGCAUCUCGUGCUUCUGGCAUUGUUAAAUGUUGUCACUGCUGAGGUGCUUUGGAUCUGGAGCAUCCUUGCUUUCACAGCCGUCCAGGGUUCAGCCCUCGGACAUUGUCG